GCCGAUAUAGCUCAGUGUUUAGAGCAGCGCAUUCGUAAUGCGAAGGUUGUAGAUUCAACUCCUAUUAUCGCACCA
rnacentral:tRNA from 2 species